UAUGGUCUGUCAUUAAAUAUAUCUCUAUCGUCUACCGAAAGUGGAAUUAUAUUGUAGCUCAAAGCAUACUAAAGUUAUAAAUCGGGGUUUAAUAAAAUGAACGCGUCGAUAGAUAAAUGAUAAGUGUGUGAGUGACCACUAUUGUCUUUUAUAAAAAUCCAUUCAAUAGCUGCCUUUAUUUCAUUGCGGGAUGUGUUUUGGAACAAUAAAAUGCACGGAUUUUUCAAAUUGACAGCUGUGACACCUGUCAAAGUUUGAUUUGACAUAUUGACAAAUGUCACAUACACCCGAAAAACAUAGAAGUCAAAGAUGAAAGUAAGUUGUGUGUUGUAAAAACUAAAGGAAUUCCACCAAAAAUGUUGAUGCAAGACGGACAAGCGGGCAGGAGAAUGAUAGUGAAAUAUUUAAGAGGAUACGUACCCGGGAGCACAAACGUUUACGAUAAUAUCGUUAUCUCUAUCGCUCUUCAAUAUUGGCGCGACAGAGCCAGACUGUGUUUCAAUCGGCGUCUAGCGACGGCGAAUUUCCUCUGAGCAAUUCAGUCAGGGUAUGCUGCAAACAUACCAAGGAGCCAACAAGGAAUGUUGCCUAGGCUUGCCGCGAGAGAUGUGAAAUGCCAUGACACAAACAAAUUUUAAGUGGGCAUGAUAUAUACUCAACAACAGCGGGCACUACAAGGCUCUGGCAUAGAGUACCUAGAGCAUGGAAUGAGGCUACCAUUGCAUAGUUAAAUAUGAUGUGGCUCCUUCUUGUCAUACUUUCUACAGCUGCAGAAAAAGAAAAACAAUGUGACAGUGAACCAUACUUCGGCCAGUGAGGUGUAAUUGAACUAAAUGCCAUAAAACCAACUUGUUUGAAAUAGUUUGAAAUAGGUCCAGAAAAGUUAUAAGUUCAUGGUAUAUUAGAAAACACUCAAGAUGUCGAGGAAACACAAGAAGUUGAUGUCGAUCUAAUCAGAGAUAUUAAUUAUUAGAAAUGAAUGUAUUUGAAAUACAAAUAUAAAAUACCUAUUUUCAAUUUUAAAUACUUUUAUCAAAAACUAUUUUGUAUUUUAU